rnacentral:rRNA from 1 species
CCUACGGGAGGCAGCAGUGGGGGAUAUUGCACAAUGGGGGAAACCCUGAUGCAGCGACGCCGCGUGGGCGAAGAAGUAUUUCGGUAUGUAAAGCCCUAUCAGCAGGGAAGAAGAAAUGACGGUACCUUAGUAAGAAGCACCGGCUAAAUACGUGCCAGCAGCCGCGGUAAUACGUAGGGUGCAAGCGUUAUCCGGAUUUACUGGGAGUAAAGGGAGCGCAGGCGGCACGGCAAGCCAGAUGUGAAAGCCCGCGGCCCAACCGCGGGACUGCAUUUGGAACUACCUGGCUAGAGUGCCGGAGAGGUAGGCGGAAUUCCUAGUGUAGCGGUGAAAUGCGUAGAUAUUAGGAGGAACACCAGUGGCGAAGGCGGCCUACUGGACGGUGACUGACGCUGAGGCUCGAAAGCGUGGGGAGCAAACAGGAUUAGAUACCCUGGUAGUG